rnacentral:sRNA from 1 species
UCACAGCCCAGAUGGAAACGGCAUCCUUUUAUGGCAGGGUUUGCCACAAAAGAUAUAGUGUACAACUGGAAAUAGC